CCCAUAUUAUGGAUGAAAAGUUUGAGGCACAGAGAUUUCAAGUGACUGGCCCAAGGUUGCACAGCUAGAAAUGACAGGACCAAGAUUUGCAGCCUGGCACUACAACCUGUGUACUUAACUGCUCUGCUGGACCAAGUAAACCCUACAGGCUACACACAAUGGAAGGCCAAGUUUAUUACCAGGACUGUUCAAUCACUCCCCACCAACCACAAGGAAAUGGGUCUCAAACUUCACAGAGCAUCAGAAUCAGCUGGGUGGCGGGGCAUGUGAAAAAUACAGAAUAGGGUCCUGGGCCCACCCCAGGGAUAGCAAGUCACUAAGCCUGGGGGGUUCAGGAAUCUGCAUUUAUGACCAGCAACCCCAGGCGACCCUGCUGCAGGCUGUUCAGGACAUAUUUGAAGAGACUUGGCCUCCUAGCAACAAGACCCAACUUAUGGGCCUGGCUGGAUCUGCCCCUUGGCGUAAACACUUUCUGCUGUAAGCCACACCACACUCACCCCCCAACCUCAAGUCCAUCCCAUCUUUAAAGGCCCUGGUCAAGU
rnacentral:lncRNA from 1 species